CAGUAGCCGCGGGAAUACGUAGGGUGCAAGCGUUAAUCGGAAUUACUGGGCGUAAAGCGUGCGCAGGCGGUGUUGUAAGACUGAUGUGAAAUCCCCGGGCUCAACCUGGGAACUGCAUUGGUGACUGCAGCGCUGGAGUGCGGCAGAGGGGGAUGGAACUCCGCGUGUAGCAGUGAAAUGCGUAGAUAUGCGGAGGAACACCGAUGGCGAAGGCAAUCCCCUGGGCCUGCACUGACGCUCAUGCACGAAAGCGUGGGGAGCAAACAGGAUUAGAUACCCCCGUAGUCCCUGUCUCUUAUAC
rnacentral:rRNA from 1 species